ensembl:lncRNA
UCCACCACCAACGCACUCAUUUUGGACUCAUCCGCUGUUGCUGCUGCUGUUGCUGCUGUUGCUGGUUCCGCUACUAUUGCUGUGCACACGGAUUCUUUGCAAAAUGCAGGCUGCAUAUCGCAUGGAGCAGGCCGCAGAGACUGACAUAGUCUCUGAAAUCUCAGGGACCCAGGGGGGAUGGACCCCGCCCACUUCUCCUUCACCUCCAGCUCUGAUGGUUCACACCCCACCUCAGACUCCGCCUCCCGGGCCGACGGCCACACAAGAAAAAAAAGAAGAAAAGAAGCUCUGUGAACCUCACGAGGUGUUUAAGGAUACUGCACGGUUCCUAGAAUACCUUAGAAUCGGGGUGCUACAUCUGUUGAACAAGGUCUGGGUUAAAUAUAAUAUAGAGAUCUGCUACGGCUGUCAAACAAAUAAUCCCAGUCAGAAAAACCAUCUGUGUUUAUAUCCAUGUGACUGGUUCUACGAACUACACUUUGAUCCGCUGAUGAAAAGGCUCUGGAAUGACAACUUCAUAUCCGCCAUCCUCCUGUUUAUGGAUAUGAAUGACCUUCAGGUCGAUGCAGACCGCAUCCAGGGGGGUGCGGAAGUACUUCUUGACGAGCUGAAAUCUGGAGGCAAUGCGGCUGAAAGUAUCCAGAAAAUGUAUGAUACACUGAUCGGGGAAGAUGAACUCAAAAUGAACCAACUGAAAAAGCUUGGCAGGUUGUGGGGAGAAGUAUCAAACCCGUAUGAAGCAUGGGAGGUACCCGAUGAUGAUGAUGAUGAUGAUGCGACAGACAUUGAUGUGUAAAAACAAUCUAACAUGCUAAAAACAAAAACAAAAAAAUGAAAUCGAAAAUGAAUGAAGUUCUUGAGUGUUUUUAUAACUGAAAAUGUAUUUUUGCUUUUGCAAUGGGGCGAAAUACUACUAUACUAUCAAUCUGCUUGUCACAUGUUGUACAAGAGAAAUAAAAUAUGUUGUAACGAAUUAACUGUCGGUCAUUUAUACUUUGGUAUUAUCAUGGAAGGGACUCUACAGAAGAUUU